rnacentral:hammerhead_ribozyme from 1 species
GUAUUGAUGAAGAGUCCCAAACUAAGACGAAACAGCUGUCCAGUAC